rnacentral:rRNA from 1 species
AUGGGUGGUUUAAAGGAGGAUGUGGACAACACAGUUGACCCUGAUUUUGACGAUGACACUUUGGAUAACUUCGGGGAAGUAGACCGUGUUUCUGAGGAAGAUGAGUACGAUAAGUUUGAUGACUGGGAUAUCCAGCCUGGAGCGGAAGCUUCUUUACCAUGGCUGCAGAAGACUGACGCUGAAGUGUCAUAUAAUAGUAGAACACCCAUCCCAAUCUUGGUUGAUGAAAAAUACAACACAUUUAAACAGUUCGAUACUGUUGAUGAUCAUAGUGAUCAUUAUUAUUCGAAACCAGAGUUGUGGAAAGCUCAGGUAGUGAACGAGCCAUCAAAUGACUGGGUGAUGCGCAUUCAACAUGAGUGUGAAGUCUUAGGAAAAGACUUGCCAGGUAGUAUAUUCGUGAGGGCAUACAAGGAUAGAAUGGACCUUCUUAGAGCUGUCAUCAUGGGACCAGCAUACACUCCUUACCAUGAUGGGCUGUUUUUCUUCGACAUUUACUUCCCUCCUCAUUAUCCAAAUACACCUCCACUUGUGAACUACCGUUCUGGUGGGUUGCGGCUUAAUAAAAACAUGUAUCCUUGUGGGAAGGUAUGCCUUGGCCUCUUAAACACUAGGCCUAGUGGUGGAUGUGACAAAUGGAAUCCAUCCAAUUCAACCAUGCUGCAAGUCCUUGUCUCCAUUAAGGAUUUGGUGUUGAAUGGCAACCGUUAUUUCGGCUCGGCUGCGUAUUCAGCCUACACAACUAGUGGGGAGAAAAGAUCCCUAACGCAUAAUGAAAAUAGUUUCCUGCGGUCCUGCAGGAUGAUGUUGUAUUCUCUUCGAAACCCACCAAAGCAUUUUGAGGAUUUCGUUGCUGGUCAUUUCCGCAAGCACGGGCACAACAUCCUCGUGGCUUGCAAAGACUACCUGGACGGCGCCCACGAUGGACGUCAUUCACUGCAUUUCGGUAUGUGGGAUUGGAGGAUGAUGGACGACAAAAGCUGCUCGCUGAAGUUCAGGACGCUGCUGAAGAGACUGUUCGAGGAGUUGCUGAUUGAGUUCAGUGAGAAGGGAGCAGACUGCGACGAGUACCUAUCAGAGAAGGCGAAGUAA